GAUGAACGCUGGCGGCGUGCUUAACACAUGCAAGUCGAACGGGGUUAUCAUUUUUGAAGCGAUUAGCUUGCUAAGAGUGGAAAAGUUGAUAACUUAGUGGCGGACGGGUGAGUAACGCGUGGGUAACCUGCCUUACACAGGGGGAUAACACUUAGAAAUAGGUGCUAAUACCGCAUAAGCGCACAGUCCCGCAUGGGACAGAGUGAAAAACAUUAGUGGUGUAAGAUGGACCCGCGUCUGAUUAGCUGGUUGGCGGGGUAACGGCCCACCAAGGCGACGAUCAGUAGCCGGCCUGAGAGGGUGGACGGCCACAUUGGGACUGAGACACGGCCCAA
rnacentral:rRNA from 1 species